rnacentral:lncRNA from 1 species
AGCUUUAGGACUCCAUGCUACAAAACUUCAGUUCCAAAGCCAAGAAAUGAAUGUUAACUUUGCAAAUGUGAGCUGCGGAGAACAACAACCAGCCAGGGGGCUGCACCAAGCCAGCCAGCGAUGUCAGGAACAACCAUGAGCAGCUCCUGAGCUUGCUGAAAUCCCAGGAGCGGAGCAGGGAUGUUUCAGCUGCUGCUGCAAUCAGCAGUUAUUAAUGCUGGCUGCCAGAGGCAAAAGUGGUCAUGGUGGUAGGCUCAAGAUAGAAAAGCACAGAAGAGGUACUCUUUUUAUAGUUUGUUUUUUUUUUUUCUUUACUGCAAUGGAAAAAAAAACCAACAUCGCAAAUUGAUAUUCUGAUUAAACUGGAGGACACCUGCCUCUGGUAAUGAUGGAAUUAAGCAAAUUAUCCUUUUAUUGCACCAUUCUCAAGUUUUUAUAUAAUUCUCCUCACGUCUUUCUUGUCAUUGCAGUAUCUAAAAACCUUUCCUUCAAACGGUGUCACUGAUUGCUUUUGUAGGUUUGUUUCUUUCCUUCUUUAUAGAGGGAAAGGUAUAAGUAGUAAGUGGUUUGGUUUUCUCUUCAGUUUUUAAAUAAGGCCUAAUAUUAACUAAGUAUUUUGAAGGGAAAAAAAUAGUUAAAAGACUGUAUAAAUUGUAUACAGAGUGAAGAUCCAGUCUGGUCAUGGCGAUGGAGGUUGGGUCAAGUUCUUUACAUUUAGUGCGUUGUCUCCAGCAGGAAAGGCUUGGUGAGAAUAACGCAGACUGUGCCCAUGGAGCCUGGAGGAGCAGCAGAGAACGCAGAGAAGAGACCUCUGAAUGCUUUUGCUGUUUUCCGUAGGGAUGCCCUCAGAAACGGCCUUUAUUUUCUCUAAAUGACGGGAUGAUUUUCCUGUCUGUGAAGAUUGAGGACCAGAAGUGCUGUGUACUGCAGUCCCGUCCUUAUCCGCGGGCCAGACAUCAUAGCAGUCUGUCGUAUCGCUCUGCUGAGCCCGGACUCGGAGCAACAGCAACGGCAGAGGUGUGGGCAGAGCAGCGCAGUGCUCUUGCAGAAAGGGACAGGCUUUUCAGACAACCUUGUCUCCUGAAAAGGUGUGCAAAAACAUUUCUAUAG